rnacentral:rRNA from 1 species
AUUGAACGCUGGCGGCAUGCUUUACACAUGCAAGUCGAACGGCAGCGCGGGCUUCGGCCUGGCGGCGAGUGGCGAACGGGUGAGUAAUGCAUCGGAACGUGCCCAGUAGUGGUGGAUAGCCCGGCGAAAGCCGGAUUCAUACCGCAUACGACCUGAGGGUGAAAGCGGGGGGCCGAAAGGCCUCGCGCCAUUGGAGCGGCCGGUGGUGGAUUAGCUAGCUGGUGGGGUAAAGGCUUACCAAGGCGACGAUCCGUAGCUGGACUGAGAGGACGACCGGCCAAACUGGGACUGAGACACGGCCCAGACUCCUACGGGAGGCAGCAGUAGGGAAUCUGACGAAAUGGACGAAAGUCUGACGGAGCAAUGCCGCGUGAGUGAAGAAGGUUUUCGGAUCGUAAAACUCUGUUGUAAGGGAAGAACAAGUACGUGAGUAACUGAACGUACCUUGGCGGUACCUUACCAGAAAGCAACGGCUAACUACGUG